rnacentral:rRNA from 1 species
AGUGAACGCUGGCGGUAGGCCUAACACAUGCAAGUCGAACGGCAGCACAGUAAGAGCUUGCUCGUACGGGUGGCGAGUGGCGGACGGGUGAGGAAUACAUCGGAAUCUACGUUUUCGUGGGGGAUAACGUAGGGAAACUUACGCUAAUACCGCAUACGACCUACGGGUGAAAGCAGGCGAUCUUCGGACCUUGCGCGAUUGAAUGAGCCGAUGUCGGAUUAGCUAGCUGGCGGGGUAAAGGCCCACCAAGGCGACGAUCCGUAGCUGGUGUGAGAGGAUGUGCAGACGCACUGGCACUGAGACACGGUCCAGAGUCCUACGGGAGGCAGCGGUGUGGAGUAUUCGCACACGGUCGCACGCCUGCUCCAGCCCUACCGCGUGGGUGAUGAAGGCCUUCGGGUUGUGAAGCCCUUUUGUUGCGGAAGAAACGCAUGAGAUUAGUGCAGCGCUGUUCUGACGGUGCCCAGUCUAUAAUGACCGGCUAACUUCGUG